UACAGAGGUCUCAAGCGUUGUUCGGAUUCAUUGGGCGUAAAGGGUGUGUAGGUGGCGCGCUAAGUCGGGUGUGAAAUUUCGAGGCUUAACCUCGAAACUGCAUUCGAUACUGGCGUGCUUGAGGACUGGAGAGGAGACUGGAAUUCACGGUGUAGCAGUGAAAUGCGUAGAUAUCGUGAGGAAGACCAGUGGCGAAGGCGGGUCUCUGGACAGUUCCUGACACUGAGACACGAAGGCCAGGGGAGCAAACGGG
rnacentral:rRNA from 1 species